GUCUACAGCCAUAUCACCCUGAAUGCACCCAAACUCGUUUGAUCUGGGAAGCUAAGCAGGGUCAGGGUGGGUUAGUACUUGGAUGGGAGACAAUUAUAUUUUUAUUUCUAAAAGUU
rnacentral:rRNA from 2 species